GAUGAACGCUAGCGGCAGGCCUAAUACAUGCAAGUCGAACGGUGUCUUCGGACAUAGUGGCGCACGGGUGCGUAACACGUAUGCAACCUACCUUACAUUGGGGGAUAGCCUUUCGAAAGGGAGAUUAAUACCGCAUAAGACAGUAGCUGGGCAUCCAGCAGCUGUUAAAGAUUUAUCGAUGUAAGCUGGGCAUGCGUCCAGUUAGCUAGUUGGUGAGGUAACGGCUCACCAAGGCAAUGAUUGGUAGGGGAACUGAGAGGUCAAUCCCCCACACUGGCACUGAGAUACGGGCCAGACUCCUACGGGAGGCAGCAGUAGGGAAUAUUGGGCAAUGGACGCAAGCCUGACCCAGCCAUGCCGCGUGCAGGAUGAAGGCGUUAUGCGUUGUAAACUGCUUUUAUACAGGAAGAAACGACUCUUGCGAGAGGCAUUGACGGUACUGUAUGAAUAAGCACCGGCUAACUCCGUGCCAGCCGCCGCGGUAAGAC
rnacentral:rRNA from 1 species